rnacentral:rRNA from 1 species
GAUGAACGCUAGCGACAGGCUUAACACAUGCAAGUCGAGGGGCAGCGAGGGAGUGCUUGCACUUCUGUCGGCGACCGGCGCACGGGUGAGUAACACGUAUGCAACCUGCCCUUGUCAGGGGGAUAAGCGAGGGAAACCUCGUCUAAUACCGCAUAUAUGAUUUAGAGGCAUCUUUUAAUCAGGAAAGAAUUAUCGGACAAGGAUGGGCAUGCGGGACAUUAGGUAGUUGGGGGUGUAACGGACCACCAAGCCGACGAUGUCUAGGGGUUCUGAGAGGAAGGUCCCCCACACUGGUACUGAGACACGGACCAGACUCCUACGGGAGGCAGCAGUGAGGAAUAUUGGACAAUGGGGGAAACCCUGAUCCAGCGACGCCGCGUGAGUGAAGAAGUAUUUCGGUAUGUAAAGCUCUAUCAGCAGGAGAAAAUGACGGUACCUGACUAAGAAGCUCCGGCUAAAUACGUGCCAGCAGCCGC